GACGAACAGAGCGAUAGUCUGUAAACAAAAUAAAUAAACAUAAAACUAAAUAACACUUAAACUAAACAGCUGUUAAUAACAAUAACAAACAGAGAACAUUUAUAUCACAGAAUGUUAACGAAUUCCCCUAUGGGAGCCUGGGAGUGUUUCCCUGUAGAAAUCCGGUAGUAUAAGCUGAACGGGAUCGUCGUUGUCAAUUAAUUGGUUCAAAAUACCUAUUGGAGACAGUGUAUUUUCAUGGAGAGCUAAAUUAUCAGCAAAUUUCCUCUGGAGCCGUAAGGCGUAUUUGCAGAGUGGUACCACAGCAGAUUGUCCAUAAAUGUAUGUAUUAGAAAAUCGUUUUGUAUAGCUUUGAAAAUUCCUGCCAAUACAUUUCCUUAGUAUUCUUCGCUCAAAAAUUUCCAAUUCCCUGGCCACCGUUGGAGAGAUAGAGAACCAUAUGGGGAAUGCAUAUAUGAGUGUCGGCCUGAUAGUUACUUUAUAAAGAAGAAGUUUUGUCGCCUGUGGAAGAUAUUUGCUGUUCAUUAAACCGGAAAACAUACCCGAUAUUCUCUUGGCCCUCGUUAAGAACAAUCUGGCAUGAUUAUUAAAUUUCAUUAACUUGUUAAAAUUAACGCCCAGGUACUUAAUGGUGUCCUUAAAUGGAAUAUCCAUACCGUCAAGAGAGAGCUGCAAAAGUUUGCUCUCUGGAACCACAAAUCUGUCACAUUUACCAGAAGCAUUUCUCAGGCAGAUGGCUUCAGAUUUGGCUGCAUUAAUCCUGAUUCCCCAAGAUUUGUAAAAAGAAUUUACAACACCAAGAUGGAACGCCGCGUUAGUAAGCGCUUGUAUUGGAGAUUCAUUAUGUGAGUAGAUUAAACAAUCGUCUGCAUACAAUAUAGCCUUUGAGUUCUCAGUUGAAUGCGGAAAAUCGUGGAGAAAUAAAUUGAAUAGAAAGGGUGCCAAAACACUACCCUGGGGGACACCACUCUUUACGCUAUCGAAACUGGAGGAUGAACCGUUUAUUUGAACACAAAAUUUACGGUCGGAGAAAUAACUUUGAAAUAGCUUUAUAAGAUAAGGAUCAACUCCUAGCUCCACCAGUUUAUACAAUAUUCCCUUAUGCCAAGCGGAAUCGAAUGCUUUUUCAAUGUCUAACAAUAAAGCUACCGUACAUAUUUUAUCUCUCAGUUUUUUUGUGAUGUCACCGUGGAAUUUCAGAAGAGCAUGUUGAGUCGAGUGAAAUUGUUUGAAGCCAAAUUGAAAUGCAGAUAUCGGACUAACUAUGAAUUCUCCUUCCAGUUUAUCCUUCAAGACGUGUUCAAAUAUCUUUCCAAUGUUUGAGAGCAUUGAAAUAGGGCGAUUUCUUAGCCGAUUUCCACACAGCUGGAAAAUAGUAAUUGUUAAUACAAUUAUUAAAGAUGAUGACCCAACAUUAGUAAAGUGGUAUGCAUCUUGGUUUUCAACAGAGUUAAAUAAUCCAUCGAACGAGUAAAUAUGCUGGGGAAUGACAUCAACACAAGACGAAAUACGGGCAUCUAUAUCCGCAAUGGCUCCUUCCGGAAUAUUUUCGCUGUAUACUGUUGCAUAGUAUUCUCGGAAGUGCUCCGAAAUUUCAGAUUCAUUGGAGAUAAUGGUGUUGUUGACACAAACUGAUUUGCAAAAUGUUGACUUUCUUUUUCCCAUUAGUUUAUAUACUUCCUUGAACGCAGAUGGGCCUGGUUUAAUUUUCUCAAGUUUACUAUUAAAACUCCUCGCUUGUUCGAUAAUUACUAGUUCUUUUAUAAUCGUCCUUAAAAGCUGGACUUGCUUCGAUAGUAUAAUAUACUCCUGACUCAGCCUGUUUCCGGUGCGAUGAUAAAUCCUUUUUAACUCUUUUUGCCAUCUAUGCUUUACUUUGAAGAAUUUUCUUAUAUUCUCAGAAAGUGGUAAUUUGUUGUUCUUUAUUUAAAUUUUUUCCGUGUGGUUGUUAUGAGCAGUUAUUAAGUUGGUAUUAAACACAUUUAUCAAUCGGUCAAUUUCAUGAUUCUCAAUAUUUCUAUUCUCAGAAGGUAACAGACUGCAAGAGACAUUUUCCAUUUCGCGCUGAAAAAGGUUCCAAUUGGUAUUCUUGUAGGAUGUACAACGGCGAGGUAUUUGUAAAAUGAAUUCACAGGAUUCUAAUCUUAAUUCCAAUUUGAUGGGAUAAUGGUCUGAGAACGAAGAAAGACUUGAUGUUCUAAAAUUAUCAGAGCUGGUGUUAAUUACAUGAGGACUUAGUAAAAAGUGGUCAAGAAAAGAUGAGCCAUUCGGAUACGAAGGCGUAAUGUCACAAAGCCGAACCACAUCUAAAGCGUUAUCAAGGAGCCAACUUUUGAGUACCUUUCCGUUGCCAUUUUCAAUUAAAUCGCCCCAAACCGGAUUCUUGGCAUUUAGGUCACCACCUAAUAUAAAACCAUCAAAUCCACUGGCCAUAUUUAAAAUUUUACUUAGUCCAUCGGAGAGAGAAGAAGUAUAGUUGCACGGAAUAUAUAUGGAACCAAUUAAAAACUUUUUACGUAUUUCAUUUAUGUUAAAAUCCACUUGAAUAAAAAUUCCAUUGAAUCCAAUGUUGGAAAUAUCUAUAAGAUUGUAAGAAA